rnacentral:lncRNA from 10 species
GCCUGGUCCCAGUCGUUUUGGCGAGCACCCAGUGGAGGUUCAUGAAGAAGAGCUUGUGAAUAUCUGAAGGCACCUCCUCCAGGAAGACUUGCCUGAUUCUCCAUGGGCUGUUAUGUGCACCUUGAAUAUACCCUCUUUAUCAUCCUUGUUGUAACACACAUUAUGGAUUAAUCAUCUUUUUUUUUCUAUCUCUUUCUUUGUUUACUAAGCUUCUUGAAUAAAAGGAUUGUCUCAUUCACCAUUAUGUUUUUUGCACAGUGCCUGACACGUUCAAUAUAUUUUUCACUUUUGAUGUUUCACUUAAAGGCUAGUGCUUUUCCUGAGUGACAAGUCAAUGAAUUGAGAGAUUUAAAAAAAGAAGCCACAGGAUGAGAGAAAAUAUUUGCAAAACACAUACCUGAAAAAGGACUAUUAUCCAAAAUGUACAAAGAAGUCUUAAAAUUCAACAAUAGUAAGCAAACAACCCAAUAAAUAAAUGGGCAAAAGAUCUGAAGAGACAUCUCAUCAAAGAAGAUAAGCAGAUGGCAAGCAAAACAAAGAUAAAUAGAUGUUCCACAUUAUAUGCCAUUAGGAAACUGAAAAUUCAAACAACGAGACACCUCUACACACCUAUUAAAAUGACUUAAAUUCAGAACACUGACAACACCAAAUACUGACAAGAAGGAAGCGCGAAAGGAAAUUCUACUCAUUGCUGGUGAUUGCAAAAUAGUACAGCUGCUUUGGAAGACAGUUUGGCAGUUUCUUACAAAGCUAAACAGAGUUUUACCACAUGAUCCAGCAAUUCACUCUGUGAUAUUUACCCAAAUGACUUAAAAUUUAUGCCCACACAGUGACCUGCAUAUGAACAUUUAUAGCAGCUGUAUUUAUAAUUGCCAAAAAAAUGGAAGCAACCAAGCUGUCUUUCAAUAAGUGAAUGAAUAAAUAGCCUGUUAUAUAUACAGGCAAUGGACUAUUAUUUAGCACUAAAGAGAAAGGAGUUAUCAAGCCAUAGAAGGACAUAGAUAAAACGUAAGUGUCUAUUACCAAGUGAAAGAAGGCAAUGUGAAAGCUCUACAUACUAUAUGAUUGUAACUAUGUGAUAUUCUGGGAAAGAGAAAACUGUAUAGAGACAGUAAAAAAAUAAAAUAAAAAAGUGAUUGCCUGGUGUGUGGGGGUACAGGGAGAGAAGGAGGCAGAAAUAAAUAGGUGGAACACAGAGCAUUAGAGGGAGAGUGAAAUUAUUCUCUGUGGUAUUAUAAGGGUGGAUACAUGUCAUUAUACAUUUGUCAAAACCCAUAGAAUGUACAUCACUAGUGACUUCUAAUGAAAACUAUAGAACUUAUUUAAUAAAAUGUAUCAAUAUUGCUUAAUCACUUAUAACAAAUGCACCACAGUAAUGCAAUAUAUCAAUAGUAGGGGAAACUGUGUGUAUGUCGUGGGGUGGGAGGUUAUAAAAAUUUUGUGCUUUCUGCUCCAUUUUUCUGUAGACCUAUAAAUUUUCUCAAAAAUAAGCUGUAUUAACUUAAAAUAAACUAAUGCAUGCAAUUUGUAGGGCAUUAGGUAUCUUCUUGAAGACUCUGAAAAUAGGCUUAGAAAAUGAUUUGAAGAAAAGUAUCUGAUGUAUACAGGAGAGACAUAGAUGGCUUGAGACUGGCUGCAGUUUGAAAUGUGAAUGCAGGGAACAGUCAUGCAUCUUGAGGGACGACAAGAUCAUGAUUCAAGCCAUAUGUGUUGCCAUGACACAGUCCAUCUUUUGUAAAAUUUGAUUCCCUGUGCCGAUUGAAGGACUGGUUAAGUUGAGAUGAAUUCUGAGCAAGAGAAUAUCAAACAGCUAAUUCAGUAGCCUUCUCAUGAUUUAUAGCCAUAAAGCCUUUCAUUAUUCAAUUCCUACUGAACUCUAAAAAUAACCUGGUGAUGCAUGUAGCACAAAUAUUAUUAAUGCCAUUUUACAGAUGAAGAGACUGAAGCUUAGAAAAAUUAAAGUUGCAAUAGGACUUAAAACAGGUUUUGUAGUUUCCAUGCCCUCCAACUGACUCAUUUCCACCCCUUUGUCAAUAUGAUAUGUAUAUAUCUGUAUCUCUUUGCACUGGAUAUUGUAUUGUAAUUUAUCAUCUUCUCACCUUUGCUCCAAUGUAUAAUGGGAAUUCACAUUUUCAAUGUCCUCCUCUUCUUCUUCCUCUUCCUCUUUCUUUUCUUUUUUUAAGUAUAAUAAUGAUGAUUUUAAAAUAUGACAGAAUUGAGACCAAG